rnacentral:rRNA from 1 species
GAUGAACGCUGGCGGCGUGCUUAACACAUGCAAGUCGAACGGUGAAGCAGAGCUUGCUCUGUGGAUCAGUGGCGAACGGGUGAGUAACACGUGAGCAACCUGCCCUGGACUCUGGGAUAAGCGCUGGAAACGGCGUCUAAUACUGGAUACGAGACGUGGCCGCAUGGUCAACGUUUGGAAAGAUUUUUUGGUUCAGGAUGGGCUCGCGGCCUAUCAGCUUGUUGGUGAGGUAAUGGCUCACAAAGGCGUCGACGGGUAGCCGGCCUGAGAGGGUGACCGGCCACACUGGGACUGAGACACGGCCCAGACUCCUACGGGAGGCAGCAGUGGGGAAUAUUGCACAAUGGGCGAAAGCCUGAUGCAGCAACGCCGCGUGAGGGAUGACGGCCUUCGGGUUGUAAACCUCUUUUAGCAAGGAAGAAGCGAAAGUGACGGUACUUGCAGAAAAAGCGCCGGCUAACUACGUGCCAGCCGCCGCCGUAA